AUUGGACGCUGGCGGCAGGCCUAACACAUGCAAGUCGAGCGGUAGAGAGGUGCUUGCAUCUCUUGAGAGCGGCGGACGGGUGAGUAAUGCCUAGGAAUCUGCCUAGUGUGGGGGAUAACGUUCGGAAACGGACGCUAAUACCGCAUACGUCCUACGGGAGAAAGCGGGGGAUCUUCGGACCUCGCGCCAUUAGAUGAGCCUAGGUCGGAUUAGCUAGUUGGUGAGGUAAUGGCUCACCAAGGCGACGAUCCGUAACUGGUCUGAGAGGAUGAUCAGUCACACUGGAACUGAGACACGGUCCAGACUCCUACGGGAGGCAGCAUGGGGAAUAUUGGACAAUGGGCGAAAGCCUGAUCCAGCCAUGCCGCGUGUGUGAAGAAGGUCUUCGGAUUGUAAAGCACUU
rnacentral:rRNA from 1 species